GACGAACGCUGGCGGCGUGCUUAACACAUGCAAGUCGAACGGAAAGGCUCCAGCUUGCUGGAGUACUCGAGUGGCGAACGGGUGAGUAACACGUGGGUAAUCUGCCCUGCACUCUGGGAUAAGCCUGGGAAACGGGGUCUAAUACUGGAUAUGACCGUUCUCCUUAUGGGGUUUGGUGGAAAGUUUUUCGGUGUAGGAUGAGCCCGCGGCCUAUCAGCUUGUUGGUGGGGGGAUGGCCUACCAAGGCGACGACGGGCAGCCGGCCUGAGAGGGUGAUCGGCCACAUUGGGCCUGAGAUACCGCCCAGACUCCUACGGGAGGCAGCAGUGGGGAAUAUUGCACAAUGGGCGGAAGCCUGAUGCAGCGACGCCGCGUGGGGGAUGACGGCCUUCGGGUUGUAACCCUCUUUCAGCAGGGACGAAGCGUAAGUGACGGUACCUGCAGAAGAAGCACCGGCUAACUACGUG
rnacentral:rRNA from 1 species